rnacentral:tRNA from 1 species
GGUUGUAGCUCAGUGGUAGAGCACUUGCCUUGCAUGCACAAGGCCCUGGGUUCGAUCCUCAGAACCA